rnacentral:lncRNA from 10 species
CAGCAACACCGGGUCACUGCUCGUUCGGGGCAAGGCAGAUAUGGGCAUGGUGGAGGCUUCUAGAGGUCAUACAAGAGGGGUCAAUGGGAAUACACAGGGAAGAUUGCUGAAUGGGCGGGGGUGAGAGCUUCAUCGGCUACCACCCACCUGAUCCAUCCACUCAUUCCAAUAAUGGGGUAUAACAACCUAUCCGGGUGCAGUUUUGAAUUUCAACCACCUCGACGGUAGAAAUGCUACAUGCUUACACAUGGUUAGAAAACUUUAGCAUCUCUAUAGUUCUGUAAAUUAUUUUUUUUUAAUUUUAUUUUAUUUUAUAGAGAUGGGAUCUCACUGUGUUGCCCAGGCUGGUCUGGAAUUCCUAGUCUCAAGCAAUCCUCCCUCCUCGGCCUCCCAAACUGCUGGGAUCACAGGCAUGAGCCACCUUGCCUGACCCUAUGAAUUCUGAAUACUACAUUUUAAAUUUGAAUUCUUUGUUUUUGCCCCUCUGACUGAAAGAUGAUACAUGUGCAGAAUGUGCAGGUUCAGUAUCUGUGUGCCAUGGUGGUUUGCUGCACCUACUGACCCCUCCUCUAAGUUCCCUCCCCUCAUCGUAAACUUUCAAAUGACGUCCUUUGUAAGUUGGUGGCAUGUUGAUCUCCUGGACUAUUAGUACUUAAAACUGUACUAAGACUUUUGGGAGACUGUAUUUACCAUGCCUUUGAAUAGGCUCUUUUCUAGGAACUUGAAAUCAUCCAACAGUGCCUGGCUCACUCUGAGUUAAGGUCCAAAGUGCUCACAGUAGCUGAAAAAUCCUCACAAUCUGAGCCCCAGGGUCUCUCUCUCUGACUCUCCCCUCAUUCCCUCUGCUUCAGCUACACUCGUGUGUCCCUCCUUCCCUCCCUCCCUUCGUUCCUUCCUUCCUUCCUUUCUUUUCUUUCUUGACGGAGUCUCACUCUGUCACCAGGCUACAGUGCAGUGGCGCCAUCUCGGCUUAUUGCAACCUCUGCCUCCCGGGUUCAAGUGAUUCUCCUGCUUCAGCCUCCCGAGUAGCUGGGACCACAGGCGCCACCACACCCAGCUAAUUUUUGUAUUUUUAGUAGACACGGGGUUUCACCAUGUUGGCCAGGAUGGUCUUGAUCUCUUGACCUCGUGAUCCGCCCGCUUUGGCCUCCCAAAGUGCUGGGAUUACAGGCUUGUAAUUUCUGGACUAUUAGUACUUAAAACUGUACUAAGACUUUUGGGAGACUGUAUUUACCAUGCCUUUGAAUAGGCUCAACCUGCACAUUCUGCACGUGUAUCUUUUUUUUUUUUUUUUUAAGAAGAAAUUGAGCCAUUGCACCCAGCCCUUUCUUUUCUUCUUCUUUUUUUUUUUUUUUUUAAAUUUGAGUCAGGGUCUCACUCUGUGGCCCAGGCUGGAGUGCAAUGGUGCGAUCACGGCUCACUGCAGCCUUGACUUUCUGGGUUCAAGGAGUCCUCCUGCUUCAACCUCCCAAGUGGCUAGGACCACAGGCGUGCAACACCACACCCAGCUACCCACUCAUUUUUUGGUUGAAUGAACAGCUUAAAUUCUUGUUCUGACCCAAGAGCCUUUGCACUGCCUCUUCCUCCUGCCUGCUUAUCCCCCAGUUAUCCACCUGUUCCCUCCCUCAUUUCCUUCAAUUUUAUUUUUUUCUGCAAUGGGGCCUUUCCUGACUACCACUUAAAAUUGCUUGCUUGGGUACAAUGGCUCACGCCUGUAAUCCCAGCACUUUGGGAGGUUGAGGUGGGUGGAUCACCUGAGGUCAGGAGUUCGAGACCAGCCUGACCAACAUGGGGAAACCCCAUCUCCACUAAAAAUACAAAAUUAGCAGGGCGUGGUGCACAUGCCUGUAAUCCCAGCUACUCGGGAGGCUGAGGCAGGAGAAUCACUUGAACCCAGGAGGUGGAGGUUGCAGUGAGCCGGUAUCACGCCAUUGCACUCCAUCCUGGGCAACAAGAGCAAAACUCUAUCUCAAAAAUAAAUAAAUAAAUAGAAAUAAAAUAAAAUUGCAAUAUACAUCUCCAUCUUUAUAGUCUCUAUCUCCCUUACUCUGUUUUUUUUGUUUUGUUUUGUUUUUGUUUUUUCGGUUUUUUUGAGACAGUCUCACUCUGUCCCAAGUAGCUUGGAUUACAGGCAUAUGCCACUACACCUGGCUAAUUUUUGUAUUUUAUUUUAUUUUAUUUUUUUUUAGUAGAGAUGGGUUUUCACCAUGUUGGCCAGGCUGGUCUCGAACUCCUGACCUCAAGUGAUCCGCCCACCUUGGCCUCCCAAAGUGCUAGGAUUACAGACCUGAGCCACCUCACCCUUCCCUUACUGUUUUUUGUUUGUUUGUUUGUUUUUUGAGACAGAGUCUCACUCUGUUGUCCAGGCUGGAGUGCAGUGGUGCAAUCUUGGCUCACGGCAACCUCUGCCUCCCGGGUUCAAGCAAUUCUCGUGCCUCAGCCUCCCGAGUCUCCCGAGUAGCUGGGAUUACAGGUGUGUACCACCACGCCCGGCUAAUUUUUGUAGUUUUAGUAGAGACGGGGUUUCGCCAUGUUGGCCAGGCUGGUCUCGAACUCCUGACUUUAGGUGAUCCGCCCGCCUUGGCCUUCCAAAGUGCUGGGAUUACAGGCCUGAGCCACUGUGCCUGGCCUUCCCUUCCUGUGUUUUAAUUUUCAUCUUGAAGCAAACAAAAUUGCCUUAUUUUUGUGGUUCAUGGUUUGUUGUCCUCUCGUGGACUGUUGGCUCCCAUCGGGCAGGGAUCUUUGUCUCUUUCUGGUUUGUUGAUGUAUCCUAGCACUCCGUGCAGGGCCUGGGAUGCAGGGACGGCUCAUGUUGAAUGGGGUUGGGAGAAGGAUGGGAAAAAAGGGGCAUGAGGGGGCAUUCAGGUGAGUCCUCCUUUAGGUAAGACCGUCAGACUCAACUGCUUUGAGGAACUUACCCUGGAUGGAGAGGAGCCACUCAGGAAAAAAUUAGGGGAAUGAGAAUGUUCCCGUCACUGGUGGAAAUGUAAAAUGCAAAGGCCCCGAGGCGGGAAUAAAAGCCUGAGGGUUCGAACAACUGCAAGGAGGGCUGUGUGACCAGCAUGAGGAGGGUACGUAGCAGAAGUUGUUAGCAAGGUAAGCUGUGGUCAGAACAGGUACAGCUCCUUGGAAUAAUUGUAAACACUUUUUUUUUUUUUUGAGAUGGAGUUUUGUUCUGUCACCCAGUCUGGAGUGCGGUAGCGCCAUCUCGGCUCACUGCAACCUCCACCUCCCAGGUUCAAGCGAUUCUCCUGCCGCAGCCUCCAGAGUAGCUGGGAUUACAGGUGCGUGCCACCACGCUCGGCUAAUUUUGUGUUUUUAGUGGAGAUGGGGUUUCACCAUGUUGGCAAGGCUGGUCUCGAAUUCCUGACCUCAAGUGAUCCACCGGCCUCGGCCUCCCAAAGUGCUGGGAUUACAGGCAUGAGCCACCGCGCUCAGCCUUGUAAACACACAUUUUAAGCACCCACAAAGUCCCUGCAUGUUUUAAGUCAUCGUGAUUGUCAUCAUUUUCUAAAGCAAGAAAUUGAGGCUCGAAGAGGUGCCUGCACCUGACCAAGAUCUCUUAGGUGGUGAGUGGCAGAGCCAAUCCCUGAGCCACAGGCCAUUCUAGCAGACACUUACCCAUCCCAGCGGGGUCUUCUCUUGACCGCCCCAUAUGUGCCAAAUCUGCAGGCUGACUGUUGCUCCACUUCCUUGCCCUGGGGGACAGAAGUGGGAGAAACCUGUAGUCCCCACCUAAGCAGUGUCCCCCACCAAUAUCUGCAAAACCCUGUGUCCAGUUACUCUGUACCAGUGAGUCUCAACCAAUCAAGGUGACCUACGUCCAGGGGACUCUUAGCAACGUGUGGAGACAUCUUUAGUUGUCACAACUAGUAGCAUCUAGUUGGAUGGAGCUCAGGAAUGCUGCUCAGCACCCUAUGAUGCACAGGACAUCUCCACCUCCUCCCCCACAACUAAGAAUGUUCGGGCCUCAAAAGUCAACCAAGGCCGGGUGCGGUGGCUCACACCUGUAAUCCCAGCACUAUGGGAGGCUGAGGCGGGCGGUCACGUGAGGUCAAAAGUUCAAGACCAGCCAGGCCAACAUGGUGAAACCCUGUCUCUACUAAAAAUACAAAAAAUUAGCCAGGCG